UAUUUUUUCCCCUCCAAUUUCACUGAAUAAGUUAUAUCGUAACGUACAAACUUUCGUUUCCUGGCAUCAGGGGAAACACCUGCAUUUAGACGAGGAAAGUAUUAAUUUCCACUUUUGUAAGUGGGCAAGAUCUCAAGCUGUAAAACUCACUCAAACAAAGCAAACGAUUGCUAAAAGAACAAAAUUAAGUAAAACUCUCCUUUAUAUGGAAGCCCAUUUCCACCACUUGGAAAUCAACCUACCGGAUACAAAUAUGGUACUACUGACUGGAAGACUGUUGGGAACAACUUUUGCUGGGAUCUGAAUACACAACAUCAACCCAAAAAAUGACCAAAACCAACAGAUGUGGAGCACUGGGAAGAGAAAUUAGUGCCAUAUACGGACCACGGACACACCUGAUCC